AACGAACGCUGGCGGCAGGCUUAACACAUGCAAGUCGAACGCCCCGCAAGGGGAGUGGCAGACGGGUGAGUAACGCGUGGGAAUCUACCCAUCCCUACGGAAUAACGCAUGGAAACGUGUGUUAAUACCGUAUACGCCCUACGGGGGAAAGAUUUAUCGGGGAUGGAUGAGCCCGCGUUGGAUUAGCUAGUUGGUGGGGUAAAGGCCUACCAAGGCGACGAUCCAUAGCUGGUCUGAGAGGAUGAUCAGCCACAUUGGGACUGAGACACGGCCCAAACUCCUACGGGAGGCAGCAGUGGGGAAUAUUGGACAAUGGGCGCAAGCCUGAUCCAGCCAUGCCGCGUGAGUGAUGAAGGCCUUAGGGUUGUAAAGCUCUUUCACCGGAGAAGAUAAUGACGGUAUCCGGAGAAGAAGCCCCGGCUAACUUCGUG
rnacentral:rRNA from 1 species